GCACUAUUGAAGUGUUCCACAAUAGGACGAAACAACUGUCCAGUGC
rfam:Schistosoma mansoni strain Puerto Rico chromosome 3, complete genome